AAUCAACGCUGGCGGCGUGCCUAACAAAUGCAAGUCGAACGCGAAAGCCCCGCAAGGGGUAAGUAGAGUGGCAAACGUGUGAGUAACAGGAUGGUGACAUGCCUUCGAGUGGGGGAUAACGUCCCGAAAGGGACGCUAAUACCGCAUGACAUCCUGCUCUUGAAAAAGCGGAGAUCAAAGCUGGGGAUCGCAAGACCUAGCGCGUGAAGAGGGGCGCGCGCCUGAUUAGCUCGUUGGUGAGGUAACGGCCAACCAAGGCGACGCUCAGUAUCCGGCCUGAGAGGGCGGACGGACACACUGGGACUGGGACCCGGCCCACGCUCCCCCGGGAGGCAGCGGUGGGGACUUGUGCGCCAUGGGCGCCAGCCUGACGCCGCAACGCCGCGUGGAGGACGAAGCUCUUCGGGUCGUAAAAACCUGUCCGUCGGGACGAACGAUUCGCGGAUGAAUGGCCCGCGGAAUUGACGGUACCGGUAAAGGAAGCCCCGGCUAACUCCGUG
rnacentral:rRNA from 1 species